UUGGAAUGAUGGGAAUGUAAAACCCUUCCAGAGUAACAAUUGGAGGGCAAGUCUGGUGCCAGCAGCCGCGGUAAUUCCAGCUCCAAUAGUGUAUAUUAGAGUUGUUGCAGUUAAAAAGCUCGUAGUUGGAUUUCUGUCCCGGUGAGUGGGCGGCGCCCGUAUGGGUGUUUGCAUGCACUGACUGGGGCUUUCUUCCGGAAGCCUCCCGCGCUGCUUCGCUGGCGGUGGGGUUGGGGAGCUUUUUUUUUGAUAAAAAUAAAAUGUUGCUUCCAGGCUUGUCGCCCUGAAUACUGCAGCAUGGAGUAAUAAUAUAAGACCACCGGUCUUCUUUGUUGUUUUUUUUAA
rnacentral:rRNA from 1 species